AGACAUUUAUAUAAAAGAAAGACGAUUAGACCCUAUUGAACUUAACUGUAGUUAAACUGGGSCAGUAAAUUAAUUAUUAUUUUAAUUAGAUAUACUACAUAAAUAUCUAAUAAAAUUAAAUAAUUCAGUUACCAUAGGGAUAACAGCGUAAUAAUUUUCUAAAGAUCUUAUUUAAAAUAUAGAUUACGACCUCGAUGUUGAAUUAAUAACCUAAUUAAGGCAAAACUUAAAAAAGGAAGUCUGUUCGACUUUUCAAAAAUUACAUGAUUUGAGUUCAGACCGGUGUAAGCCAGGUCGGUUUCUAUCUUCUAAAAAAUUUUUUACAGUACGAAAGGACCUAAAA
rnacentral:rRNA from 1 species